rnacentral:rRNA from 2 species
ACGGGUGAGUAAUAUAUCGGAACGUGCCCAAUCGUGGGGGAUAACGUAGAGAAAUUUACGCUAAUACCGCAUACGAUCUAAGGAUGAAAGCGGGGGAUCGCAAGACCUCGCGCGAUUGGAGCGGCUGAUAUCAGAUUAGGUUGUUGGUGAGGUAAAAGCUCACCAAGCCGACGAUCUGUAGCUGGUUUGAGAGAACGACCAGCCACACUGGGACUGAGACACGGCCCAGACUCCUACGGGAGGCAGCAGUGGGGAAUUUUGGACAAUGGGCGAAAGCCUGAUCCAGCAAUGCCGCGUGCAGGAAGAAGGCCUUCGGGUUGUAAACUGCUUUUGUACGGAACGAAACGGCUCUUUCUAAUAAAGAGGGCUAAUGACGGUACCGUAAGAAUAAGCACCGGCUAACUACGUGCCAGCAGCCGCGGUAAUACGUAGGGUGCGAGCGUUAAUCGGAAUUACUGGGCGUAAAGCGUGCGCAGGCGGUUAUGUAAGACAGUUGUGAAAUCCCCGGGCUCAACCUGGGAAUUGCAUCUGUGACUGCAUAGCUAGAGUACGGUAGAGGGGGAUGGAAUUCCGCGUGUAGCAGUGAAAUG